UACGGAGGGUGCAAGCGUUAUCCGGAUUCACUGGGUUUAAAGGGUGCGUAGGAGGGCAGGUAAGUCAGUGGUGAAAUCCCCGAGCUUAACUUGGGAACUGCCGUUGAUACUAUCUGUCUUGAAUACCGUGGAGGUGAGCGGAAUAUGUCAUGUAGCGGUGAAAUGCUUAGAUAUGACAUAGAACACCAAUUGCGAAGGCAGCUCGCUACACGAAUAUUGACUCUGAAGGCACGAAAAGCGUGGGGAUCAAACAGG
rnacentral:rRNA from 1 species